CUCUCUCUCUCUCUCUCUCUCUCUCUCUCUCAAGUUGGACGGUACUGCCAAUAUUUAUUUUAAAAAAUCAGAAUUACAAAUGAUAAGAGGGAGGGUCAAACAUAAUCCUUCAAUUAUUAAACCCAAAAAUAAAAAAUAAAAACCCUUAAAACAAUCUGCUACACAUAAAUGUCACCUCAUUUUUAAUUGAAAAAUCCUGAGUGAUCUGAAAGAAUCAGAGGUUUCAUAUGAGUAGGUAUGGAAGACAAUGUGGAAAAGGAAGAGCUGCAUCACUUAUUGCAUGCCAGUGUGCACCUGAUUGCUCCCAUGAAGGAUAUGGGUCAAAGGACAAUUAAGGGCCCAUUUGGACACACUCUCCAGAGGGGUGUUUUAGGUGUAAACCCCCUUUCGAGCCAAACAAGUCUUUUUUUUUUAAAUGUGCAUUCUGAUGCAAUUUGCAAACUCCUGUUUCACCAUCCCACUCAGCAAAAUAGGCUCUAAAAUGCUAGCUGAACAAAAACCAAUCCAAAAGGUCUUCGUUAGGUCGAUUAGAAAAGCAGGCUUGAAACACCCUUUUGUGCAACUGUGUCCAAAAGGGCCCUAAAAGUCUCAAGUAAACCUCUGAUUUCCUCUCAUUCAUAUCAUGCAUUCCAAGGAGCUCUAUAGUUAUGAUUGGUGAAGCUAUUAACUGCGACCCCAGAAUCACUUCCACUACUACAUAAUGUUUUUGGAAGAACAAAUUCUCAAGCCAUCCAAAAGAGCCUUUAUUUCUGCCUUCAUGUUGUUACAAAUGUCAUAAAAAUCCACAUAAGCAUAAAGCAAGUUUCCAAAGCCAUCUCUAAUAAUUUCCCCAACUCCAACCUGCCCCGUCAACAUUCAACUUCAGGAAUCCAUUUUUAGGUCAUGUCGAGCUGAGUAGCAUAAGUUUCAACAUUUAAUUGGACUCGAAUCAAUUUGAAGGUUCCGAAAAGCUUUUUUUUUUUUUGGAUUUAACAGCCAUCCUCUACAAACCCAUCCUGCUUCUGAACAAUCUGAAUUGGAUUGACAAUUUUCUUAAUAACCCAAUUUAGAUGAGUUUGAUUUUCCUUCUAAGAUUCAACAGUUUCGCUGUUUCCAGAUCUCAUUCUUUUGUUUUGAUCUUAUCAGUAAAUGUUUGUAAUUGUUUUAGAACAAUUUGCUGCAUUUUCUGCAACUGGAAAGAAAAAAGAAUGUGGGUGGAAUGGGCAGCAUUUGGAUGCAUAAGUGAAUUGAAUUGCAUUUCAGUUUAUUCAAGAGGAAACUACAGAACUAGUGAUGUAUUCCAGCAAUUAUAAUGACGAAGUAGCCUCAAAUUGCAUUUACAUUUAUUCCAACCUGAAAGUAACACAAUUGAGUUUAGAGACAGAUGCUCGAUGGCAAUGCAAUUUAGUUAUCGCCACUUUGUGUGACUAAUAAUCUCAAUUCAACUAGAUAAUUCAUCCAAUAAUUUGCUAUUCGUUAUUCUGAAGCUUGGUAUACUUCUGUCAGCAUCCCAUGUUGUCUUUCUGUUUUUACUCUGUACUUGCUUAUUAUCAGUUUCUAUCACGAUUCUCAUCCAAGCUUCUUUCCUCCAUUAUUUACAUCACUCGAUCCACCAAGAUUGGAAACCGAAAAUAAGAUUUUUUAUCGAUCAGAGACAAGAAUACAAUAAUCUGAAGAGCUACUAGUUUCUUGUUUGGGCUUGAAUCGUGAAAUUUUGGUUUAGUAAAGAGGAAAUGAUCAAAUUACAAUGACAUUUCCUAGUAUUCAUAAUGAGGCUCUUGUCAUUUGAAAGUACUGCAAUUGCAAGUUACAGCCUAAUCUGUUAAUAUGAAUUCGAAGUGAGGUGACUACCAUUUGAUCAUUUUCAUGUAAAUGAACUAAAUCACUGCAAAACAGUUUAAAAGUGUAUCGAAAUUUAGCAACCUAAAAUGCUUUCCAGUUUCAACUCUCCAACGGCUUCCAGGGCUGCUUGGUUUUGGGUCAACCCGAACCCAAUUUACCCAACUCAAGUCCAGGUUGGGUUUGGUCAGGCUAUGAAGGUCCUCGGGUUAGGUUAGGGUUGGAAAAUGCCUGCGCGAUUUGAAAUUGGUUUGGGUUUGGGUUGAGCAAAUGCUGGUUGAGUUAUACCAAGUUGGGAAUAAUCACAUUUUGGGUCAGAUCGGUCGGAUUAAGUUGGUUUAGUGUUUAUCAUAGAGGAAGCUGGGUUGGGCACCUUGUGUUAGAAUUCAGGAUGGUUGGGUUAGGUCGGUUUAGUGUUUGGUAUAGAGGUAUUCAAGUUGGGUUUGGGUUGGGCACCUCGGGUAAGAAUUUGGGUUGGGUUCUCUUGAGGUAGGGUUGGGCUCGGGUUGACCCUUAACCCAAUCCAACCCGCCCAAGUUUCACCCUUAGCGGCUUCAAAUAUUAGAGACUACUCCACAUGUUCAGGAUUUAAAUAAUUCAUCUAACAUUGCCGCAAGAACAUGUGCUAUGGAGAAUGUGUUUUCAGCAUUUCUAUCCUCUUCAAACUGUGUUCGAGAGUUGAGCCACACGCACGCACAUGAAAAAAGAGAAAAAAAAAACAGAGUUGAGACACAAAACCAUCUUGUGAAAAUAUAAGGACGCUGAAGCUUUUCCUGCCUUUUCAGCAUGUUGUAAUGCAAUCAAGUGAACAACAGUGGGGCAUAUAGCACAUCAUCUUACAUUUGAUUCCACGGUCCUGGUGCUUCUGGUACAUCUCAUAGGUCAAUCCUAAUAACAUAUGCCCCUGGACAUGAUUUUGAUGACUGCCACUUGAGUUCAACACGGGUGCAGCUUGGGCGGGUUGGGUUGGGUCGGGUUGAGGGUCAACCCAAACACAACCCAAACUCCAACUCGAGGUACCCAACCUGAGCCCAACCAAAGGCCUCUAUACUCAACACAACCCGACUGAACCCAAUCUAACCCAACCGGAAAACAUGUGAUUAAUUGAAACCUGACCUAAAACUGACCCAAAAUUUCUCGACCCAAAGUCAGUCGGUUGGCGCUUUUCAACCCAAACCCCGCCAAAGGUCCUUGACGACCCAACCUGAAUUCGGGCUGGACCUCUGCGGCAGUUAGAAAAUUGAUUUAUGGAGUAGAGCCAUUUUAAUUAAAGGACUGGUGCUGUCUGAACAAGGCUUGUUGAAUGAUAUGUUUGCGGAUUUCUUUUGCUUUCCAAUUGGCAUUUAUACUCCGGAACUCGGGUCCUUACUCUUGCUCCAGUGGUAGACUCUUAGGAGUUUCAACACCUGGUCAAGGGUUCAAGUACCCAUAGGUGGUGAAAUUCCACCAGCGUGAGUGUGUGGGGGUGUGUGUGCAUGUGUAAAAAUAAAUAAA